rnacentral:tRNA from 1 species
AGUGAGGUCAGCUAAGUAAGCUCUUGGGCCCAUACCCCAAAUAUGUAGGUUAAACUCCCUCCUUCACUA